GAAACUAACAAGGAUUCCCUUAGUAACGGCGAGUGAAGCGGGAAGAGCACAAAUUUUAAAUCUACCUGGUUUCCAGCUCGAGUUGUAUUUUGAAGAAAUGUUUUUGACGUUCCGGGUUGGACUAAAUCCUUUGGGAUGAGGUAUCAUAGAGGGUGAGAAUCCCGUGUAUACCAACCUUCAGGGGCGUUAUUUAAUAACGUUUCUAAGAGUCGAGUUGUUUGGGAAUGCAGCUCUAAAUGGGUGGUAAAUUUCACCUAAUGCUAAAUAUAAGCGAGAGACCGAUAGCGAACAAGUACCGUGAGGGAAAGAUGAAAAGAACUUUGAAAAGAGAGUUAAAUAGUACGUGAAAUUGUUGAAAGGGAAACGAUUGAAGUCAGUCAUGCCGGCGUGAAUCAACUUAGGGGAAACUCUGAGUGCACUUCUUCGCUUGGCAGGUCAGCGUCGAUUUUGGAUGUCAUAAAAUGAUUGGGGGAAGGUAGCUCCUUCGGGAGUGUUAUAGCCCUUGGUAGAUGUGAUGUCUGGGAUCGAGGAUUGCAAUGGAUACCCUUCGGGGCUAGCCGCCUGGUCUCUAAUCGAUGUUGGGUUACGGACAGCACGCUGACCGUGAUUUGAUUAUUGGUUAAAAGGUCAGAACGUGCGUAAAUUCGUUAAGGAUGUUGAC
rnacentral:rRNA from 1 species